rnacentral:rRNA from 1 species
AUUGAACGCUGGCGGCAGGCCUAACACAUGCAAGUCGAGCGAGUGGCGGACGGGUGAGUAAUGUAUGGGGAACUGCCUGAUGGAGGGGGAUAACUACUGGAAACGGUAGCUAAUACCGCAUACUAUCGGAUGUACCCAUAUGGGAUUAGCUAGUAGGUGGGGUAAAGGCUCACCUAGGCGACGAUCCCUAGCUGGUCUGAGAGGAUGAUCAGCCACACUGGAACUGAGACACGGCCCAGACUCCUACGGGAGGCAGCAGUGGGGAAUAUUGCACAAUGGGCGCAAGCCUGAUGCAGCCAUGCCGCGUGUAUGAAGAAGGCCUUCGGGUUGUAAAGUACUUUCAGCGGGGAGGCGUUACCCGCAGAAGAAGCACCGGCUAACUCCGUGCCAGCAGCCGCGGUAAUUC